GUCUUCUACUGUCCACUGCCAAACCAUGCAUCCUUGGGCUAAGUACUCCCCUCUCUGUUCCAGCUUCCACUUUUGUUGACUUACCAGCCAAAGAGGGGAUGUAUGAGUGUCUGUGGACACCUGGUGGCAGUUUAGAGGAAUUAAAACCAGGUCAUCAGAGAGUGGAGCUCUGUGUACAUUGCGCAGGAUUAGGAUCUGUCCUUUUUCUUCCCGUGUUUACCUCAGAGGACAUGAUUUCACAUGGAUAUAAACUGAAUCAUAUGUUAAAGGUCGUCCUUGAGGACCUUACUCUCCACACCAUCUGUUGUAAAUGUAUAGCACAAGUCUCACUGAAGCUGGGUGAAGUCACAUAGGCUUACAACUUAUACAAUAUGAUCGUCAGGGAUUGGGAAGGAGUGGUAGCAACUAUUGGGAAAUGAUAAAUUAUAUGAUUCCAAAUUCAAC
rnacentral:lncRNA from 1 species